GCCGCGUGAGUGAUCAAGGCCUUAGGGUUGUAAAGCUCUUUCAGUAGGGAAGAUAAUGACGGUACCUACAGAAGAAGCCCCGGCUAACUUCGUGCCAGCAGCCGCGGUAAUACGAAGGGGGCUAGCGUUGUUCGGAAUUACUGGGCGUAAAGCGCACGUAGGCGGACUAUUAAGUCAGGGGUGAAAUCCCGGGGCUCAACCCCGGAACUGCCUCUGAUACUGGUAGUCUUGAGUUCGAGAGAGGUGAGUGGAAUUC
rnacentral:rRNA from 1 species